GAUGAACGCUGGCGGCGUGCUUAACACAUGCAAGUCGAGCGAAGCGAUUUUAAGGAAGUUUUCGGAUGGAAUUAAAAUUGACUUAGCGGCGGACGGGCGAGUAACGCGUGGGUAACCUGCCUCAUACAGGGGGAUAACAGUUAGAAAUGACCGCUAAUACCGCAUAAGCGCACAGUGCUGCAUAGCACAGUGUGAAAAACUCCGGUGGUAUGAGAUGGACCCGCGUCUGAUUAGGUAGUUGGUGAGGUAAUGGCUCACCAAGCCGACGAUCAGUAGCCGACCGUAGAGGGUGACCGGCCACAUUGGGACUGAGACACGGCCCAAACUCCUACGGGAGGCAGCAGUGGGGAAUAUUGGACAAUGGGGGAAACCCUGAUCCAGCGACGCCGCGUGAGUGAAGAAGUGUUUCGGCAUGUAAAGCUCUAUCAGCAGGGAAGAAAAUGACGGUACCUGACUAAGAAGCCCCGGCUAACUACGUGCCAGCAGCCGCCGUAA
rnacentral:rRNA from 1 species